GACUGGCAGCUGAGAGAUACCAAAAGGAAGAAAAAAGAAAACCAUUGCUCUUGAUAUUGCUAAUGCCGGGGGAGGUAAGCUAACGAGAAAGUAGGGAAAAGGAAGGUUUUAGAGUUCACCUCCACUCCUUCCCCUGGCUAACACUCUUUACACUCUUCUGCCUUCCCUUGAGAUAAUUAAAAUAGACUGUACACCGGCCCUAGUCGGUGCCCAUUCCCCCUAACUCUUCACUCAACUACGUGUGUAGUCCGAGGGAGUGAGGACCCCGGGUCCAAGAGCUCAAUCCCGGCCCCGCCCCGUCGGCCCAGGCCCCGGGGCUGGGAGGAGAGGAUGCCUUCGGAGGCGCAGAAUCCGAAAAGAUGUGGUUGGAGCUGGAAGCUGUUAUCCUCAGCAAACUAAUGCAGGAGGAGAAAACCAAAUACUGCAAGUUCUCACUUAUAAGUGGGAACUGAAUGAUGAGAACAUUUGGACAUGAAGACCAAAUCUCCAGGAUUGUGAAUCAAUCAGAGAAUGUUUAGGUAAGAGUUUUGAAAAUGUUCCUUGUGUUUGUUGUAAAUAAAGCUGGAGAUAUCA
rnacentral:lncRNA from 1 species